CCUCUCCACGGCUCCCGCUCCCCUUCGGUCUCCAUCUUCUGCCCCACCUUGUCGUAUGGUGGGAGGACUCGCAGAAGCUCCAGAUCCUCAGUCACAGAGAGAGGAAAAAAAAAAAAAAAAAAAAAGAAAAUCGUAAAACAAAGUGGAAGAGAGAAGGUUUAUGCAGGAAGCGGAGGCUCGUCGCGGGCUGGGGAUGCUCUUGGCUGCCCUGGCCCGGCGCCAGUGGGACAGGACUCCAUUUUUCUGAACGUGCCGUGACUUUUGAGGACCACGCAUGGUUAACCAGCCCCAGGGCUCCCGAGUCCCUGAAUCAGCACGUCCGCCUGCAGACGCCGAGCCGAGGGGGAGCGCUCCCCCCGGCCGUGACACGGCCAUGGCGGGGAGAAGUGCCCUUCUGCUCUGCCCUGGCUUUCAUCUGCAAAGCGUGUAGCUGCAAGUGCCGCGUGUUUACAAAUGCAGGCAUUGCAAGAUCCCUUGAACUGUGUCCUAGUACAAAAGAGGCUUUGAAACAAGAAACACGUUGUCAUGGCAUGUUCCAGGCCAGCAGCACCAGACUGAACCAGAUAAUUGCUGUUUCUGCUUUAGCUGCUUCAUCGUGGAAAAAGCAGCAGGUCUUGAGCAAGUCUUUCUUCCCUUUAGACAUUUGGUGUGAUGCUCGGGAUGGAAGGAGAGGGCUGGGAAUGCCCGGGCAGACGGGGGCAGAGGCGGGAUGAGCCCAGCCAGCGCUGCGUACCGCUGCCGAGCUCCGCAGGGCUGGAGGCAAAAUUACUCUGCCUGGCUCCAGUCACGUAACCACGGCCAGCGGAGCCGGUGACGCUGACCCUCGCUGUGCGACACGGGGUAUUCACGUUUCGUAACCCUGACAUGCUGCCAGAGCCAGGAGACGCGGCUCUCGCAGCACCCCCCAGCUCCGCGCUCCCGACCUUUCCCAUCGCCCUUCUCCAGGCACUUCAUGGCACUCGAGAAAUAUCCAAAUACCUCUCAGUGGCAGCCGGCCAGGUGUGUUUUUGCUCCGGGCAUGUCACUCCGUGGAGUCAGUUAUUGCCAUUACAGCCGGCGCCUUUGGAAACAGCAAAACAGUAAAGCUGUGGCUGGGAAGGGCUUCUCACUGCGUACGCCUCGUUAAAAACUGCAAAACUGGGCAAGGCUGAGUAACGCCACAGAGCUGAGGGAAAACAGAGGAGUUCGGGGCUGGAUUGCAAGAAGCAACGCCAAGGAAUGCCCCAAAAUAACAAGGUGGAUCCGCCAUCUCCUCUCGUACACGCUGCUGCCCUCAGGAAAACGGGACCUGGACAAGGGUAUGCACGGAGUUCAUAUUUGCACUUUUGCCUGAGGACGUAUGCAACACGAAUGUGGAGCUGAGCAGCUUAUGGAAGAUUUAACUCAUUUCUAUUCUUGACGGCGAAUUAUUAAUAAGGUUAUGCCCGUGUUCAGGGCCUUUCCCCGCGCUCCCCUCCUGCUGCACGGGGGGUUUGGAAACCUGCUGGCAGAGUUUUACUUCAGCUAUCGAUUGAUGCGCAGCGGGGGUAAUAUUUCAUCCCGAAUGGAAGCAGUCGCUGAUGAUUAUCACAUGGUAUUAGCACGUGUCGUUGUGAAAUCGGUGUGAAUUGAGACGAAAUGUGACCUAUGGGCACAGGCAACCGCAUUCUGAUGUAUUCUGGCUGCGUUGCGCUGCACGGGUAACGCCGGGGCUUGACGAGCCGUGGCUGUUGCUGGUACCGUGCUGAUUAAAAGCCCCAGCUCGCUCCUGCUCCCAUUGAAAUCAGUGGGAGGUCCGUCACUGCCUGCAGUGAGCGCUGGGCCGGAUCCAGAUUUCACUUCAUAGUAUGCUUUAUUCCCUAGGAUUAAAGAGGCGCGGGGAGUGGGAUUCCUCUCCCUCGUUGAUCUCUGCCGCUUCCAUGUUUGCCUUGGAGCUGGUCGGGACACGAGGUGCCCGACCUGGUUUCGGUGACUACCCAGGGAGGAGACGAGCGGUGUUUUCUCCACGGCGGCUGCAACAGCCGUACGAGCAGCAACCGCAGCAGUGCCGACGUAUCACGCUCCCGAAGCAAUUCAAAUGGAAACUUCCCAGAAUGACUGUUGCAGAGCUUUCCCCUUGAAUCACCUCGCCUCCGAAGCGCCGCUUUCUAAGACGAUGCCCUCGGGAAAGCCGUCACUGGCCUCCGCUGCGGCGCGGUGGGUCUGUCCCUGCAGCACAGCUGGUCUCCGUCUCUUCUCGGGCCCGUUUCUCUCAGAGCAGCUCUGCUCGCUUUGGCUGGAUGGCAGUGUCUGAUGAGCAAAAGCAGGUCCAGGGGUGCAGGAGCCCCAGGAGCCCCAGGCUGGGGCUCAGCUCAAGGGGCUGAGCCCAGCUUUUGGUCUGCAGAACCAGCCGGGGCUUGCCCCAGGAGGGACAGCAGACCGGCAAGACCGAGAUCUCCGCGCAGAUCCUGGAGCCGCUCGGAAGAUGAGUCAAAGGAUUCCUGAAGCGAUCACAGCUGCGAGGUGCAGCAGCACCAACACAUCCACCGGCAGCAGCACCGCCAGGCUCCCUUGGCCAGAUGCUUGCGCUUUACAUUUAGUAAGACACAUUAGGCAAUUUCCCCUUAAAAAUGUUUAUGGGAAUAUACAAAUAUUCACUUAUUCAGAACUUGCCUGGCCCUUCGCGUGCAGCGUGGUGGCGAAAGUAACUUGAAUUGGUAUAAAUCUAUCAAGAAAGCUUGAGAUGGGGCAUGACGCAUGGCGAGGAGAUGGAUGUCCUGGAGCCCUGGUGGGGACUGAGUCCUCCAGGCGCCGGGAUGGAGACCUCGCUCAGUGGGAUGCAGCACCCUGCUGAGCAGGACAGGGCCACCACGGGACCUGCGCCACGUCCCUCAGCACCCAGCUGCAGGCAGCGUGGGCAGAGUUUUCCCUCCUGUGAUUUCCCGAUGGCCACAGGAAGAGCAUGCACAGACCCGAUCUGGAUUAAAUCAAAGGAAUUUUUUUUUCAUUUGCUGUCUUACGCACUGACCACCAAACCACAUCCUUCGAGCCUGAGCCCAGUGCAGUGAAACAAAAACUAGGCCAGGACUUUUUGCUCAUUUAUUUUUUCCCCUUUCCCUCAGCGCAUCAGUUGGGUGCAAAGCUGGCACACACCUCUCCUCCAGCCCCUCCGCUCCCCACGGAGCUGGGUGCAGCCCCGCAGGAUGGCCCCCUCCCGGUGCAGCCCGGUGUUCCCCCCACCCCGAUUACCCUGAGCGAACCACUUGCAGCUCCACGUGAAACCUGGGAACUAUCCAGAUUAUGUCCACUGAGCACAGCGUCAGUGGGGAGCAAAUACAGAGGACCACAACACAUUCUGCCAAAGAUGCGUGCUUGGAUGUGAGACCUCCAAGCUGGGAUGCGUUGUUUGCAGUUAUGAAGCUGUUUCGGCUUUGCCAUGCCCCGUACCGCACGUUGAGAUGCCGGAGGUGCCUGCCUGCCUGCAACAGCGAUGACUGAGGGGAGGCCCGAAGGGUAGGCACUGCGUUGGUUUAUUGCCAAAUGGAGUCAGAGCUUUCUGAUGUGACACUGAGCAAAUCAUUACACCGCUCCUGCACUUCGUUUCCUCAUUAUUAAAAGAGGAUAAAACCCAACCAAUUAUUGGGAUAUGCACAAAUAUGCCAUUGAUGAGGGCCCUGAGCAACCGGGCAGAUUUUCUGAGGAGCCUUGAAGCAGCAAGGCACAGAAGCCACAUGCUGGGCUCUCCCUUAUUUUUAUUCUUUUUUGUUUUCUUGGUUGUAGAAUAAGAGCUAAUCAAAGUGAUGCUCUCCAGCAGGCUUUUGUGUAUGGCAUUACAGCAAAAUCCUAAAUUCCCUUUCCUGCUCAUGCAUACAAAGCAGGAAGAACCAGGAUGGCUGCAGACUAUUUCUAUUUUCAGAUGAUUUAGCCAAGGAGAAAAUAACUGGAUGGCUGGAAGAAGGAGCAUUCGCUAGGAAAUAACCUUGGAGCGCAGCUCUCGGACACGAUGGCGUGUGAGGUGCUCAGCUUCCUGAGACAACCAUGCUCCGCAAAAUGCCAAUGGGGAACGUAACUUCCAGAGGAGACGACAAAGGACAAUACAGACAACCGGAGCACGCAGAAUCCCAUGCAAGAGAGACUGCAGAGCAGGCUGGGUGCUCCCUUCUGCUCCUCUGCUCCUGAUCAAGAAACCGUUUCAGCAUCGACAUACGUAAAGUUCCUCCUGUUCAGUUUAGGACCCCUACUAGGUGCUGGGGCAACAAGUCAAGUAUUUGGCUGGUGUAAGCCAGUGCAGCUCAGCUGACUUGGUUCACGUGAGGAUGUUUGCGUAGGUGUGUUGCUUCUUCCCCCACUGAAGGCAAAGACGUCGCCUGGGACUUGCCCCUCACACCUGGAGCAAGCCGGACGCUCCCUCACCGCAAGGCAGGAGUGGGGGCAGCUUCUCCACGCUGAUGCUGUAGGACCACAGCGGGGAGCGAUACCUGAGCAAAAUCUCACACCUCCUCGCGCAUCGCUUCAUGCUAUCUGGUCUGCAGCGUGCAAGGGAAACUGCAGCUCCCAGCGCCUGGGAUCUGUGCCUGACUGCUGCCUGCCACCUUCGGGCACAUCGCCUCUCCCGUCUCUGCCUCAGCUUCCCCGACUGCAUGACGCUUUAUGAAGGACUUUGAAUUUCACCGAUUAAAAAGCAUUAAAUGAGACCGGCUUGUCCUGCGGGCUUGAUGUAGAUUAUACAGCCACUGUGGCUGGGAAUAAACAUC